GACGAACGCUGGCGGCAUGCCUAAUACAUGCAAGUCGAGCGAACAGAUGAAGUGCUUGCACUUCUGACGUUAGCGGCGAACGGGUGAGUAACACGUAAGGAAUCUACCUAUAAGCGGGGGAUAACAUUCGGAAACGGGUGCUAAUACCGCAUAAUAUCUUCUUCCGCAUGGAAGGAGAUUGAAAGACGGCUCUGCUGUCACUUAUAGAUGACCUUGCGGUGCAUUAGUUAGUUGGUGGGGUAACGGCCUACCAAGACGAUGAUGCAUAGCCGACCUGAGAGGGUGAUCGGCCACAUUGGGCCUGAGACACGGCCCAAACUCCUACGGGAGGCAGCAGUAGGGAAUCUUCCGCAAUGGGCGAAAGCCUGACGGAGCAAUGCCGCGUAAGUGAAGAAGGCCUUCGGGUCGUAAAACUCUGUUAUAAGAGAAGAACAAAUUGUAGAGUAACUGCUACAGUCUUGACGGUAUCUUAUCAGAAAGCCACGGCUAACUACGUGCCAGCAGCCGCGGUAA
rnacentral:rRNA from 1 species